GUAGGUAUAGCUCAGUGGCAGAGUGCAUCCUUAGCAUGCAUGAAGUCCUGGGUUCAAUCCCUGGUAUAUCCA
rnacentral:tRNA from 1 species